UAUUGCGCAAUGGGGGAAACCCUGACGCAGCGACGCCGCGUGUAGGAAGAAGGCCUUCGGGUCGUAAACUACUGUCAAGAGGGAAGAACCCGCAGGGCAUUAAUACGGCUNUGCGCUGACGGUACCUCUAGAGGAAGCACCGGCUAACUCCGUGCCAGCAGCCGCGGUAAUACGGAGGGUGCGAGCGUUAAUCGGAAUCACUGGGCGUAAAGCGUGCGUAGGCGGCGUAUCAAGUCAGGCGUGAAAGCCCUCGGCUCAACCGGGGAAUUGCGCUUGAAACUGGUAUGCUGGAGUCUCGGAGAGGUUGGCGGAAUUCCAGGUGUAGGAGUGAAAUCCGUAGAUAUCUGGAGGAACACCGGUGGCGAAGGCGGCCAACUGGACGAGUACUGACGCUGAGGUACGAAAGCGUGGGUAGCAAACAGGAUUAGAUACCCUGGUAGUCCACNCUGUAAACGAUCGAUAUUAGGU
rnacentral:rRNA from 1 species